rnacentral:misc_RNA from 1 species
UUUAAACAAACUGAGCCCCUAGAAGUUAAACCUAGGGCAACAGUUGAAAUGAAGCCUUAUUACCCUAGGCCUUCACCUGUUAAUCUACAAUAUGAAGAUACUUCGUACAAUUACGUACAAUUUGAUGGUUCUUCAAUUGUAGAAUGGAAUAUAGAUGGAUUAUCUGAAUAUCAGAUUAAAAAUGUAAUCCAUUACAUGACAAUGUACGCAAUGGCAGCAAGAGCUAAAGGCAAUAAUGAUCGCCAAAUUGCACAGGGCAUUGUAGCUGGUUUUACAGGCCAACUAAAAGGUUGGUGGGAUUUUUCCUUAUCUGAUGAAGGAAAAAGACAAAUCUUUGAUGCUGUUAAAACAGAGCAAAGACCAGAAGGUCAAACUCAAGUAUCAGACAGUAUGAAUACCCUCUUAUAUACCAUAGGGUUACAUUUCAUAGGAUCAAUGAGUCUGUACUUAGAUAAAUCUCAGGAACAGUUAAUGAACUUGCGAUGUCCUGAUCUAUCUCAUUUCAAAUGGUAUAAAGAU